CCAUCUGGAAGAAUCUGGAGACAGGUGCUGCAUGGCUGUCGUCAGCUCGUGUCGUGAGAUGUUGGGUUAAGUCCCGCAACGAGCGCAACCCUUGCCUUUAGUUGCCAGCAGUUCGGCUGGGCACUCUAAAGGGACUGCCGGUGUUAAACCGGAGGAAGGUGGGGAUGACGUCAAGUCCUCAUGGCCUUUAUGACCAGGGCUACACACGUACUGCAAUGGCCGAUACAAAGGGCAGCGACACUGCGAGGUGAAGCCAAUCCCGUAAAAAUCGGUCUCAGUCCGGAUUGGAGUCUGCAACUCGACUCCAUGAAGUUGGAAUCGCUAGUAAUCGUGGAUCAGCAUGCCACGGUGAAUACGUUCCCGGGCCUU
rnacentral:rRNA from 1 species